AUGAAUAUGAUUUUCAUAAGUCUCUCAAUGUCAUGUUCUCUAUUCCCAUGUGACAUAGCGCAGUGAACAACUGUUCUCUUACAUUUUUGUAUUGAAGACAAUCAAAAAGUACAUGUUGAACAGUUUGUUGCUGUUUGCAGGUUCCACAAAGUCCAUCCUCUUGCUUGCCCGUCUUUGCUAGAUCCCAUGCAAGUCCACAACACCCGAGUCUCAGC